rnacentral:tRNA from 1 species
AUCGCCUAAAGUCUCGACCCAUCUUACCUAAAUUAUAUUAAGGGUCAUAAUAUAAUAUUUAAGAUA